UUGAACGCUGGCGGCAGGCCUAACACAUGCAAGUCGAACGGUAACAGGAAGAAGCUUGCUUCUUUGCUGACGAGUGGCGGACGGGUGAGUAAUGUCUGGGAAACUGCCUGAUGGAGGGGGAUAACUACUGGAAACGGUAGCUAAUACCGCAUAACGUCGCAAGACCAAAGAGGGGGACCUUCGGGCCUCUUGCCAUCGGAUGUGCCCAGAUGGGAUUAGCUUGUUGGUGGGGUAACGGCUCACCAAGGCGACGAUCCCUAGCUGGUCUGAGAGGAUGACCAGCCACACUGGAACUGAGACACGGUCCAGACUCCUACGGGAGGCAGCAGUGGGGAAUAUUGCACAAUGGGCGCAAGCCUGAUGCAGCCAUGCCGCGUGUAUGAAGAAGGCCUUCGGGUUGUAAAGUACUUUCAGCGGGGAGGAAGGGAGUAAAGUUAAUACCUUUGCUCAUUGACGUUACCCGCAGAAGAAGCACCGGCUAACUCCGUGCCAGCAGCCGCGGUAAUACGGAGGGUGCAAGCGUCAAUCGGAAUUACUGGGCGUAAAGCGCACGCAGGCGGUUUGUUAAGUCAGAUGUGAAAUCCCCGGGCUCAACCUGGGAACUGCAUCUGAUACUGGCAAGCUUGAGUCUCGUAGAGGGGGGUAGAAUUCCAGGUGUAGCGGUGAAAUGCGUAGAGAUCUGGAGGAAUACCGGUGGCGAAGGCGGCCCCCUGGACGAAGACUGACGCUCAGGUGCGAAAGCGUGGGGAGCAAACAGGAUUAGAUACCCUGGUAGUCCACGCCGUAAACGAUGUCGACUUGGAGGUUGUGCCCUUGAGGCGUGGCUUCCGGAGCUAACGCGUUAAGUCGACCGCCUGGGGAGUACGGCCGCAAGGUUAAAACUCAAAUGAAUUGACGGGGGCCCGCACAAGCGGUGGAGCAUGUGGUUUAAUUCGAUGCAACGCGAAGAACCUUACCUGGUCUUGACAUCCACAGAACUUUCCAGAGAUGGAUUGGUGCCUUCGGGAACUGUGAGACAGGUGCUGCAUGGCUGUCGUCAGCUCGUGUUGUGAAAUGUUGGGUUAAGUCCCGCAACGAGUGCAACCCUUAUCCUUUGUUGCCAGCGGUCCGGCCGGGAACUCAAAGGAGACUGCCAGUGAUAAACUGGAGGAAGGUGGGGAUGACGUCAAGUCAUCAUGGCCCUUACGACCAGGGCUACACACGUGCUACAAUGGCGCAUACAAAGAGAAGCGACCUCGCGAGAGCAAGCGGACCUCAUAAAGUGCGUCGUAGUCCGGAUUGGAGUCUGCAACUCGACUCCAUGAAGUCGGAAUCGCUAGUAAUCGUGGAUCAGAAUGCCACGGUGAAUACGUUCCCGGGCCUUGUACACACCGCCCGUCACACCAUGGGAGUGGGUUGCAAAAGAAGUAGGUAGCUUAACCUUCGGGAGGGCGCUUACCACUUUGUGAUUCAUGACUGGGGUG
rnacentral:rRNA from 1 species